ACUCCUACGGGAGGCAGCAGUAGGGAAUCUUCCACAAUGGGCGCAAGCCUGAUGGAGCAACACCGCGUGAGUGAAGAAGGGUUUCGGCUCGUAAAGCUCUGUUGUUAAAGAAGAACACGUAUGAGAGUAACUGUUCAUACGUUGACGGUAUUCAACCAGAAAGUCACGGCUAACUACGUGCCAGCAGCCGCGGUAAUACGUAGGUGGCAAGCGUUAUCCGGAUUUAUUGGGCGUAAAGAGAGUGCAGGCGGUUUUCUAAGUCUGAUGUGAAAGCCUUCGGCUUAACCGGAGAAGUGCAUCGGAAACUGGAUAACUUGAGUGCAGAAGAGGGUAGUGGAACUCCAUGUGUAGCGGUGGAAUGCGUAGAUAUAUGGAAGGACACCAGUGGCGAAGGCGGCUACCUGGUCUGCAACUGACGCUGAGACUCGAAAGCAUGGGUAGCGAACAGGAUUAGAUACCCUGGUAGGAUAGCG
rnacentral:rRNA from 1 species